rnacentral:tRNA from 5 species
GUGGGUAUAGCUCAGUCGGUUAGAGCGCUGGCUUGUGGUGCCAGAGGUCACGGGUUCAAAUCCCGUUAUCCACC